rnacentral:rRNA from 1 species
AUUGAACGCUGGCGGCAUGCUUUACACAUGCAAGUCGAACGGCAGCGCGGGCUUCGGCCUGCCGGCGAGUGGCGAACGGGUGAGUAAUGCAUCGGAACGUGCCCAGUAGUGGGGGAUAGCCCGGCGAAAGCCGGACUAAUACCGCAUACGACCCGAGGGUGAAAGCGGGGGACCGAUAGGCCUCGCGCAAUUGGAGAGGCCGUUGACGGGUUAGCUAGUUGGUGGGGUAAAGGCCUACCAAGGCGACGAUCCGUAGCUGGUCUGAGAGGACGACCAGCCACACUGGGACUGAGACACGGCCCAGACUCCUACGGGAGGCAGCAGUGGGGAAUUUUAGACAAUGGGGGCAACCCUGAUCCAGCCAUGCCGCGUGCGGGAAGAAGGCCUUCGGGUUGUAAACCGCUUUUGUUCGGGAAGAAAACCUCUGGGCUAAUACCCCAGGGGGAUGACGGUACCGGAAGAAUAAGCACCGGCUAACUACGUG